UGGACAGGUACAACGUGCCGAGUAAACAUCUGAGCUCUCCGUAGAUCUUGUAUUCUACAGCUGCAACAACAAAUGGCAUACAGCAGAAUCAGCUCAAGGCGAGCUUCCUGUAAUAGCUGCACGUAGAAGAUGUCCUAGACUCCGCGUUAAUGUAUCACACUUGCUCCAAGUAGGGCAAACAGAGAGGAUUCAUCAGUCAUGUUUUGCAAAGGAGACUCAAGUGCAAUCUCCACAACCUCCAGAAAGAGGAACUCACUUCCGUGCCAGCAUGCUUCCCCCUAGCAAGUAUUUCCCUCAAUAGAUCAUUCUCCUUACAUAUAUGAUGAAUUAGGGCAAAAGGAUUCUGCACAAAUAGGAACUAAGGUCCUGAUUCACCCAUGACAUCAGUUUUACACCAUCAUUCAGAUGCAAAGCUGAUAGAGAAUGGUGAGUCAAGCACUUGAUGUUUCAAGUUUGAAGGAUUUGACAUGGAUAUGGAGAUAUGCCCAAUUCUCCUGGGAGUAAGUAAACAAGGUGAAGUAAAUGAUGACCCAAGAACAAGAGGGUAUAAACUUGUCUUGAAUAAAUUUAGGUGGGAAAUUAGGUUUUUAACCCUCAGAGCCGUGGAAUAGCACUGAAAAAGCUCUACAAAGCUUUUCAGUAAGCUUUACUUACUGAAAAUAAACCUUCAGAGGUUCUGGAAUAGGCCUCUAAUAGGAACAGUUUUAAAGAGAGGUUGAUAAAUUUAUGAAGGGGAUUAUAUCACGUGAUUGCUUGAGAGUGCAGGAGACCUGAUGCAGGAACUCAGUAAGUCAUUUCCAAUGCUACUUUCUAUAUUUCUGUAAAUGAUCCAUAGACCAAAGGCUUUCACAUUUCUCCUUAAACUGCUCAUUGCACAGCUUGCAGUCAAAAGAAUUCUACUGGGCAAGUUAUGUUGUUGGAGUUUAAGAGCUCUAUAUAAUGGUUUGUGGCAAGAUGGUGAGAUGAUUUGGCAGGAGAUAAUAGAACUCUACUCUGUAAAGCUUGUUCAAUAAGUUUUAAUGCUGAUCACAAGAAAGGGAAACAUUUCACAUGAGUUAACAAAGUAAAACACAACCCUCCAACUAGGACUGCAAACCCUCCAGGAUCGCCCUGGAGUCUCCAGGAAUUAGAUAUACAGCUCCAGU